GACGAACGCUGGCGGCGUGCUUAACACAUGCAAGUCGAACGGAAAGGCCCUGCUUUUGUGGGGUGCUCGAGUGGCGAACGGGUGAGUAACACGUGAGUAACCUGCCCUUGACUUUGGGAUAACUUCAGGAAACUGGGGCUAAUACCGGAUAGGAGCUCCUGCUGCAUGGUGGGGGUUGGAAAGUUUCGGCGGUUGGGGAUGGACUCGCGGCUUAUCAGCUUGUUGGUGGGGUAGUGGCUUACCAAGGCUGUGACGGGUAGCCGGCCUGAGAGGGUGACCGGCCACAUUGGGACUGAGAUACGGCACAGACUCCUACGGGAGGCAGCAGUGGGGAAUAUUGCACAAUGGGCGGAAGCAUGAUGCAGCAAAGCCGCGUGCGGGAUGACGGCCUUCGGGUUGUAAACCGCUUUCGCCUGUGACGAAGCGUGAGUGACGGUAAUGGGUAAAGAAGCACCGGCUAACUACGUG
rnacentral:rRNA from 1 species